AAUAUCUCCUAGUAUAUAAAUUAAAUAAAAGGACCCAGAAAGAAGAUUGACCUUGUACAUUUCCUCUCUCCAACACUUUCGUUUUAUAAUUUCAUUGCAAAAUUUGGCAGCCAUCUUUUCGUCGCACCUUCGUCGCCUACCACCACCAGGAAAGAUGGGUUUGAAGAAAAAGAGAAGUAAAUCUUCCUGAAGAUGAAAUGGAGAUAGUACUAAUGGAAGAUAUAAUUGAAGAGUAGAAGCGAUGAGAGAUAAGGAUAAUGGAGAAGAAUUUAAACAAAAGAAAAUUGUCUUCUUUGUAUUGGAUUCCACUUGCCAGCAGAAUUCCUCUACUUUCAAGGCAAUAAUGGAAGAAAAUUAUGUUGGUUUUCAUUUUAUGCCAUAUUUAUGUUAAAAAAAUAUAUCACUUUUUUUGAACUUUUUAAGUUUCUAAACGAGACGUUUAAUUGUUUAAACA